rnacentral:misc_RNA from 1 species
AGUUUGAGAAAGAGGCUCACCCCAUACCGUACACAUGCUGUACGUUUGAAUCAUGACCUGAUGAGCAGCCACAGAAUAUGUACCCAUAGAUGUAGCAAAAUAUAUAAUGAGCGAGUAGAACACAACCUUUGACAUCAUUGUUACAAACACUGGAGCUGCAAGCCCAACUAUUUUCAAAAGUUCAUUAAGUGUUGGAACAGAGAAAGCAUAUGCAUUGUAUCCUUUCUUGUUCAGAGCUUCAAUCAUCAUAUAAGCUGC